ACACGAUCAAAUAAUCUUAUAUUGAUGCCAUAUUAUGUUAGUGGUACAUCAAAAUUAAAUCCAAUAUAUAAUUAGUCAAAGUCUAUCAUCUAUUCAUUGAAAAAAAGUUACCAAAACUAAAAUUGGGCAACGAAAACAUGCUCAUUCACUCAUCAAAUCGGAAAUAUUAAGCAAGCAAACUCAAUUCUAUUAGAUAAAAAAUACACCAAACAAAAAACUGAAAAAUUUAGAACUCAACCUUGCUUCAAAAGGUUAAUGUCAGAGAUCACUGUAAAACAGACUAUCAUCUAAAUAGAAAUUGACUUCAGUGAAGCCAAGUAUAACCUUACUACCUUAGAUAAUGCCAAUCUUGUUUGCUACAUCCAAGGCAUCAUAGUCUGGAGUCAACCGAACAUAGGCCUUCUUGGUGCCAUCAGGCCUGCAACAGAACAGAAUACCCUAAUUUAGAAGAACUAAUAGAUGUUUAUGCAACUAUGCAUUCAAGUUUUUCAUACAAGUAGUAGCAUCACUUUCAUGUUAUUGUUAAUUAGGGUUUAUACUAAAUAAUUUUAUGCUGCUGGAGACGCACAGCAUGAGCCAUUUAUCACAAAUGUGGACCAUAAAAAAAACCAGAAUCCAGUAUCCUCCAAUCAUGAUAAAAGCUUGGAAGGCAAAUUGCAAUAUCAAUUUUUUUGUUAGUAGACCAUGGUGAAUUAGUCAUUAUAAGCAAUCAUGAGUUAAAACUUAAGAUAAUUCCUAAGAGAGUCACUAGUACAUAAGCUAUAAAGGCUCACCUGAUCAAGGUGUUCACUUUCUUAGCUUGGAUGUCAUACAUUUUCUUCACUGCAGCCUUGAUCUUCUUCUUGUCAGCACGCAAGUCAACAAUGAAAACCAAAGUGUUGUUGUCUUCAAUCUUCUUCAUGGCCGACUCAGUGGUGAGGGGGAAUUUCAGAAUCUGAUAGUGAUCAANNNNNNNNNNNNNNNAUUUUCUUUCACAAAACAAAGGAUAGAGGAAGAUAAACAUUGUUGCAAUUCAAACCAUCGAUUUGAGUCCUAAAUCCCAACAGACCAACAAAAAUAAAUUUUCACCAAGCAUUUGAGGAUAAAUAUCAACUUGGAAAGAAAGAAAAAAAUCAACUUGGAAACUUCGAACUGAAAGUUAGUUUGGAGUAGGAGAAAUCCAAUUGAAACCUACUUGAAUUUGUCAGCGUUGGUUCAUGAUUGCAUGCACCCUUUCUUGAAUUCAAAACAUGGUUUUUCAUGUUUGCUUGAUCGGAUGAGUACAUUAGUAAUUCACUAAUUCUAGUUACAAAUACACAUAGGUUUGGGAACACCACUGGCACUAAGCAUAAUCAUGUCCAAUUCACAUAAUUUCACAAUAACUAACGACAAAGAACCAUAAUGCACAUUCCACUUUCAUCAAUAUGCAUAACGAGUACUUAACAACAUACAUCCUUCAAUUAUCUAUGAUCAUUUAACCUUGGGUAAAUUAUCUUUUCUUGAUGGUUAAAAUGCACAGUACCAUACAUCGUGUAAAUCGAAAAACAAUUCCAAAGCUCUAUUAAUUUUCAGCCAUUCGAGAAUAUGUAGUAAGACUAUCAUGGUAUACAUAUUGUUAAUAUUAAAAAUUAUUUCAUAUUUGAUAACUCGUUCACAAAACCACAUGUUCAAGGUUCUCUGGAAUGUGUGAAAUACCCACGACACCUAUCACAUGUUUAAGGCUCUCAGUAUAAAAUUUCUUUACACGAUCAAAUAAUCUUAUAUUGAUGCCAUAUUAUGUUAGUGGUACAUCAAAAUUAAAUCCAAUAUAUAAUUAGUCAAAGUCUAUCAUCUAUUCAUUGAAAAAAAGUUACCAAAACUAAAAUUGGGCAACGAAAACAUGCUCAUUCACUCAUCAAAUCGGAAAUAUUAAGCAAGCAAACUCAAUUCUAUUAGAUAAAAAAUACACCAAACAAAAAACUGAAAAAUUUAGAACUCAACCUUGCUUCAAAAGGUUAAUGUCAGAGAUCACUGUAAAACAGACUAUCAUCUAAAUAGAAAUUGACUUCAGUGAAGCCAAGUAUAACCUUACUACCUUAGAUAAUGCCAAUCUUGUUUGCUACAUCCAAGGCAUCAUAGUCUGGAGUCAACCGAACAUAGGCCUUCUUGGUGCCAUCAGGCCUG
rnacentral:lncRNA from 1 species